AUUGAACGCUGGCGGCAGGCCUAACACAUGCAAGUCGAGCGGAUGAGAGAAGCUUGCUUCUCGAUUCAGCGGCGGACGGGUGAGUAAUGCCUAGGAAUCUGCCUGGUAGUGGGGGACAACGUUUCGAAAGGAACGCUAAUACCGCAUACGUCCUACGGGAGAAAGCAGGGGACCUUCGGGCCUUGCGCUAUCAGAUGAGCCUAGGUCGGAUUAGCUAGUUGGUGAGGUAAUGGCUCACCAAGGCGACGAUCCGUAACUGGCCUGAGAGGAUGAUCAGUCACACUGGAACUGAGACACGGUCCAGACUCCUACGGGAGGCAGCAGUGGGGAAUAUUGGACAAUGGGCGAAAGCCUGAUCCAGCCAUGCCGCGUGUGUGAAGAAGGUCUUCGGAUUGUAAAGCACUUUAAGUUGGGAGGAAGGGUUGUAGAUUAAUACUCUGCAAUUUUGACGUUACCGACAGAAUAAGCACCGGCUAACUCUGUGCCAGCCGCCGCUGUAAAAC
rnacentral:rRNA from 1 species